UCAUCAGAGCCCACAAAAGGUGUUGGUUGAUAUAGACAGCAGGACGGUGGCCAUGGAAGUCGGAAACCGCUAAGGAGUGUGUAACAACUCACCUGCCAAAUCAAUCAGCCCUGAAAAUGGAUGGCGCUGGA
rnacentral:ncRNA from 1 species